CAGCAGCCGCGGUAAUACGGAGGGGGCUAGCGUUGUUCGGAAUUACUGGGCGUAAAGCGCACGUAGGCGGCUUGGUAAGUUAGAGGUGAAAGCCCGGAGCUCAACUCCGGAAUUGCCUUUAAGACUGCCGAGCUAGUAGGUGAGAGAGGUAAGUGGAAUUCCGAGUGUAGAGGUGAAAUUCGUAGAUAUUCAGAAGAACACCAGUGGCGAAGGCGGCUUACUGGCUCAUUCUAGACGCUGAGGUGCGAAAGCGUGGGGAGCAAACAGGAUUAGAUACCCCCGUAGUCCCUGUCUCUUAUAC
rnacentral:rRNA from 1 species